GAAUAAUAUUAUGAAAAUAGUUUAUCGUAAGAAUUCUUCAACAAUGCUAGAGAAAAACUUUUUUGCACAAACUUUUCUCAAAUCUGUCCUUUGUUGACAAAUUUGUUUUAAUUUUUUUUUCUGAAAAUUGUCGACAAAAAAAUAUUUUCUUUGGUUAAAAUCAAAAUCACGCGAAUUUAAGACCCAUUUCUGGACGAAAUUCUAAGAAUAGAGGCGUCAAAAAGUUGCAAGAAUUCAAGAGAAGUGAAGAAUUAGUGGAGGAGAUGCGGAAGCUCAAAUAA
rnacentral:sRNA from 1 species